rnacentral:piRNA from 1 species
GUGUUGGAUCACCUGGAGCUGAAGUCGC